GUUGCUUCGGUAACUGACCUAGCGGCGGACGGGUGAGUAAUACUUAGGAAUCUGCCUAUUAAUGGGGGACAACAUCUCGAAAGGGAUGCUAAUACCGCAUACGCCCUACGGGGGAAAGCAGGGGAUCACUUGUGACCUUGCGUUAAUAGAUGAGCCUAAGUCGGAUUAGCUAGUUGGUGGGGUAAAGGCCUACCAAGGCGACGAUCUGUAGCGGGUCUGAGAGGAUGAUCCGCCACACUGGGACUGAGACACGGCCCAGACUCCUACGGGAGGCAGCAGUGGGGAAUAUUGGACAAUGGGGGGAACCCUGAUCCAGCCAUGCCGCGUGUGUGAAGAAGGCCUUAUGGUUGUAAAGCACUUUAAGCGAGGAGGAGGCUCUUUUGGUUAAUACCCAAGAUGAGUGGACGUUACUCGCAGAAUAAGCACCGGCUAACUCUGUGCCAGCAGCCGCGGUAAUACAGAGGGUGCGAGCGUUAAUCGGAUUUACUGGGCGUAAAGCGUGCGUAGGCGGCUUUUUAAGUCGGAUGUGAAAUCCCCGAGCUUAACUUGGGAAUUGCAUUCGAUACUGGGAAGCUAGAGUAUGGGAGAGGAUGGUAGAAUUCCAGGUGUAGCGGUGAAAUGCGUAGAGAUCUGGAGGAAUACCGAUGGCGAA
rnacentral:rRNA from 1 species